AACUUAUCAAGAGAAACUGAGGGACUGGCCCGAUGAUGUUUCAGCAACCACACAUAUGUGACGGUGCUAAAUCCAGCAGAACAUAGUUCUGGGAGAUGAGAA
rnacentral:ncRNA from 2 species